rnacentral:lncRNA from 1 species
UAAGAUUUUCAGCUCCAACUCCAUUAAAACACUUAGUCAAAAUGUAUCAAUUACAUGACUGUAAUUAAAUACUUUCCAGUACUCCUACUACUCCUAUUUGAUUCACAAGUUACCCCAACUUGUAAAACGAAAUGCACACUCUAACUCACUGAUUGUUUAUGACACUUGAUUACAACUCAAUUACCUAAAAUACAGUCACUAGACUGACCUGGAGAGAAUACAAUGCAAGUACUCAACGCAAGUAAAUAACUUAUGAUUCUUUAGUUGAAGUGCAAAAGGAUGAUUUAGAAGUCCAAAGUCAAUCCUAUUUAAACACGACUUGAGGUCUUCUAGGAGUCCUAUACAAAGUCAACUUCCUCUUUGAUAGGACUUCUACUGUUCCAAGAAUUCCACACGCUUUAGGACUUUAGUCUCUGACUAAAUUAUCCAUAUUCUCUGGGCAACGACCCUUAUCACUUAUAGUAGCCAUCGUCCACCAAAAUCGGAUCUGGGUACCUUUGAGAUAAAGUUAUUGUCUUGUACAAACGUACAAGUAUCACUCAGGAGGAGCUGGUUCUUUCUCCUGAGGAACAGAUUCUUCAGAACAGUUAAACAGCUACGUUGAGGACCUGGUUCUUUGAAUAUUUAGUCAUACUUUAUUAAUCAUCAAAAAUUUCAAUAUUCAACAAAUUUUCUCUUUUUGAUGAUGACAAAUUUUGUGCACAUCAGAACCAGAUAAUCACCUCCAAGAACUAAAUAAUCACAACAAGCACUAUUGACAGACAUGUAUGUUCACAGUAACUUCCAAACUUAUCUUUCCCCUUUUGGAAUCAUCGAAAACACACACAAGAAAAUGUUAGACACUAAGAACAGAUAAUGUAAUAUUCAAGGCCAAACAGGCGACAACACAAGCAUAAGAAAGGGCAAAUAAACUAGGCUGAUGAUCCAAUAAAGUACAACGCAGUAAAGCAGAGCAAUAGGAGAUAUUAAGUAGUGCCAAAAGAAGCACAUGGCCUUGUCUUCAUCAUUACAACAAAAUAAACUAAGCAUACUGCAAACUACUCAGACUAAGACAAAAGGAACAAAAGAUAAGGCAUCACUAGAAUAGCAUAAACAAAAACUAAAUGUCACACCCCUUUUCUACCCCCAAAAGAUGUGUUUUAUGGAUUGUUGUAAGUUAAAGAGUUUUUUCAAUUAAGUGACAAACUUGAGUAGGGAUUAUUUUAUUUACAGAGUCGCCACUUGAAAUUGAGUUUUUAGGUGUUCCAAGUCGCCUUUUAUUUGAAUCCCUAGUCAAAGGAAGGUUUGACUCUAUUAUUAUUGGUCUGCGAAAAUAAAGUCCGGGUAAGGAAUUCUGUUGACCGGAGAGAAGGUGUAAGGCAUUCCCCGAGUCCCGUAGUCCUAGCACGGUCGCUUUAUUGACUAUAUUUGGCUUAUAUUAUUUCAGGAUAAACUGUGAUUUAUUGGUUUUUAUGUUUUAUCUAUCCACUUUUAUUGUUGAUGACUUUAUUAAUCUCAAACUAAGACGAGUAUCCCCGACCCUAACUUACACUAACCAAGACGAGUACCCCCGACCUUAGUUCGUGUGUCGCACCUAAAAUUGGAGCCUACUCGAAGUUAACUAAAUAACAAAGUUUUAAUUAAUUGAAAAAAUUGAAACAAAGCGUAUCCUCACGACCUUGCCAUUUUUAUUUAUGCCUUAAUGUUGGGAAAAUUAUGCAAAUAAAUGUUGGACCGAUUCUACCUAUUUUAAAGCAAUGGGCCAACAUCUUGUUAAAGGAGAAAUGGGCCAGCUUAGGGAUUUUAGAACUGUUGGACUACUGGAAUUCAUUAUAAGAAAAUGGGCCGGCUGAAAUUAUUUACAGGAAAUGGGCCAUUAUAUAUAUAUAUAUAGGGCUAGCUACCAUGUCAUUUAUGUUCGGCCAAACAGCUAAUCAUUCGGCCCAUAUUAAUUUACAACCUUGAUUUUCGUGUUAGCUCAGCCAAACAAACAUUUUGUAAUUCAACCUAACCACGGGACUAACCGAAUUUGAUAAUAAGCUUUACUACUGACACAUGGAAAAAUAAAACUAAGAAAGUCCAAUAACUAAGAAACUCAUCUCAACGAAUGGGCCAUGACAAACUUACUGACAAUGCUUGAUAAACUAAAGGCAAAUUCUUAAAAGAAAACUAUCUUACAAACUAUACCAAAGUACACAUGAUAUCCAUACGGAUUAAACUUAUUCUAUUAAUGAGAUUGUAAUUUUGACAAAAACAAAAUGGCCACCUUUCCAUACCCACCUUCCAGAAGUAUACAAACAUAACAAGGACUAAAGCACAUAGCUUUUAUAAAUGGAAAAAAAACUUAACAAAACUCCUAUUGCAGCCCAGUAAAGGAUGCAUCCUCUUGUUCUUUUAGACUAUAUACCAGAUCCGAAUAGUUCAAACUAACGACAAGGAAUAUGGAUAGAUGGAUCUGCACACUACAAAAUAAACUAAACUAUUUAACUACAACAAAGAAACUGAUUACAAAUAUGCAUGUUUAGCACUCAAACAUUCAGCGAAUCCUUUAAGAAAAUUUAGUCAAAACUAUCAAACAUGCCCAACUUUUCAUCAUCUGCUAUGAAAGAACAAGAACCUGCAUUACAAAUGUUUAGAAGGUUACCUGAAAAGCAGAAAUGCAGCAGUAACAGUAGCAGAAAUUCAGCAACAGAAGCAGUAGGAACAGCAGGGGAAACAGCGACAAAUCAACAAAUUGUGACCCGAGAAACAACCCAGAAAAUACCAGCAGUACAAUACUUGAAAACUAGUACUAAGUUGCUCUAGAAAUUAGCAGGAACACCUCUAUUUCUCACAAAUUUUGCACUCUAAGAAACACUCACAAAGCCCAGAAAUUUUCAGCUUACUACUUGUUGUUUAGCUGAUUUCUCUCAAGUUAUUUUUUUUGUUUCUUUUUUAGUGUGUAAAAGAUUUUUU